rnacentral:lncRNA from 1 species
GGGUUUUGCAUAUCAGGGUACCUUAAGACCCCGAUGUCAAUUAUGGUCUUCUCGUGGUGCUCAUGCUUGGCAAAGAAAUUUUCAAAGCUGGUAAUGGUCGCCCCUGACUGAGCAACAAUGCGCCCAAGAACUUCAAUGUCGAUCUUGGUUGAUUUCAGGACGUCCUCAUCUGCAAUGAGAUUCACAAACCAGGUCUGAACCUGUGACGAGAGAAGGCCGCAAAGGUUAAUAGAGCUCUUCUAUAAUACAUAACUUCUAUUACCGCUUUCACAAUAGCUGCAUCAGGUGACCCGUCAAUCUUGAAAUCGCUAGAGCUUUUGUUGAGAAACUUGUCAGCUCUGCUAAUCCCAUCGCCCAUUGGCUCAACCAGGGGAUUUUGCAUGAACAUGGAGUUGACCUUCUCCCAAGUUCGCUCUUCUGGUGGCACUUUGGCGAGAAGAGUGGUGGUUCCCGAGAUGCAAACCUUGAGAACCUCAUCCAUCUUCUUUACUGUUUCUGCAUUCAAUGCCCCAAACGAUGGUGCCAGGUUGGUGUGGAGGUAAUCCUCGGAACUCUUGGAACGCACAUCAAUCUGGAGCAUUCCACAAGGAGUUAAGCACUGCUUUGGGCAAUACAGGUUCCACUUUACCUUGCUGAAAUCAAAAUUCGCCACAAUGUCACCAAUCUCCUUCAAUGAACCGAAGGCUCCCAGCAUUGUCACCAUGGUUGCCAUUGCAAUUCACCUUCAGAAGAGGUAUGUACAUACUCCUUACUCCAUACUCCAUUUUUAUAAUGGGGUAAAUGAGUUAGUUUAGUGCAGAAAACAUGGUUAACAAAAAUGAAAGUAGCUUUACUCAUCACGUGCUGCAUGACUUCGUCAUACAUAUACGGUUAAAAAACAAAAGCUGAUUAGGUGCAUUCAGCGUUCUGAAAGAUUAGUUUAGUGCAGAAAGCGAUUUCGGUGCAGGAAACGCAUUUACACCAAACAGAAAACGCCAAGCCUCCUUCGGUGCAGUAGUCUAGCUUGACCAUGACUUUGAAAAAAAUCAGAUAAUCGUUUCAUAUUCUUUACGCAUAUGCUUUUAGGGCAUGAUAAACUGCUCUCCUCUCCUCGCGUAGACGACUUUGCCCCAGCCGGUCGCUGGAACCGCAUCGCGUCGCAAAGGAACCAGUGCUUGUGGAAAACCACAGGUCCACUAAGUCAACUUUCACAUCGUCUCAGAGAGUUCAUUCAACUUUAAGAAAGUUUAAGCUUUAAAAACCCCUUGGAGAAUUGAUGGUGGCCGCGAACGUCGGAGAGUAGCAAAAGCUUGAUUGGGCUUGUCUGAGAUUGGGAGCCCGACUUGUAUCCAUCCAAGGCAGGCGUGAGAUGCUUUGGGUGCCCGAGACUAGGGAGGCGUUGCGGGCAUCUGUUUUUCCGAUCCCAGCAGAGUACGAAGGGACGACGCUGCUGCAGUAGUGCUGGGUUUUGAGGGUGACUAACAAAUCAACGUAGCCGUACAUGUGUAUCGAAGUAUGAAAAUCAAUGAAAAGCUAACAUUUUCAAUGACUGAAGACUAUGUUGAGUAAAUAUUGACUUUUAGCGAAGUUCUUACAUUGUACAGCUUGUCUUUUUGGAAGAUGAUGUUCAAGCUCUGAACGAGGCAUUCCCACAGGGAGAGAAGGUAUCUCUAGUUUCCCAUUUAAGUUAUUUCAUUGCUGGAUUUUCUCUCAGGAAGACACAUCCUGGGCUCUUACAGUUCUUUUCUACUUAGCCAAGCUUGUUUUUGGCAUUCUCGGGUAAGAAAUAGACUCGGAAGGCUUGACAAAGAUAUUCACUUCUUCUUUUGUUUUUCUUGUUGCAGAUUGGCUUUGUCUAUAAUUUGGCUUCUCCACAUCCUUGUUUUCAUGCUUGUCAAUCCUCCAGCUUUUCCGUUUCUGAACCAAGUCUUUAUUCAGCUUGACAGUGCCGGGGGUACUUUCUGUCGAUGCGAUCUCUAGACCUGAAUCGUUUCCUUGCUUUCAGGCUUGCUAGGAACUACCGCCUUUGCAAUUUUUUGCUACUACCUCGUCAUGUCUGUCAUAUCUGGAGAGAUGCAUCUGGGAAUGAGGCUUCUGUUUCUUUCCAUUCAUCCAAUGAAGUAAACACUUUUUUUUAAAAAUGUUUUUCUAUGAAACUAUAGGUACCAAGGCACGCUCAUGAACUCGUUUUCUUUUCAUCCAUGUUUACACGUGGACGUUUGCCCGAAUAAGCCCAUUCUGGGUCUAUCCGAUUCCUUUCUCCGAAAGAUGCCCUUCCUGGGCAAAUGCGUGAAUUGACGUGAAAACCCUGUUCUUGCGGAUGACUGGCCACAAUGUGAAUUGAUCUCUUGACGAUCGAUCUCUUCUCUGCGCUUCCAGCGAUCGCGAUCGAUUUCAGCGACACCUCCACGGAUAAAACUUGCAAAUUGGAUGCUCCAAUUAGCUGUCUUUUAAGGUCUCUUUAAGCUCUUGGAGCAAUCAGUACACAUUUCAUCCUUUCUUGAGUAAAAGAAUGCAGCUUAUCCAUAUACUCGUAGAGAUUUUUCUUGAGGAACGUAGCGCUUGCAAAUUGAUGGUCUCGUCCAAGCUCCAACCAGGUGAAGUUGUGAAGCGAAACCAAGAUCUCGUACGGGUUGUUUCCAAACGCACCAGCGCUGAUAGCAAUCUCCCAACACCGCACACUGUCCACUUACUCUUUUGGCACUCGUCCCACGAAGAAUGCCUUGGAUCCGUGCGAACCUCCUGUGCGACAUCCACCGCUUCUGAUGAGCAGAAAUGCUCCAAAUACAAGCAUCACAGCCCGAUGCCCGAUGCAUGAAGAAGACCUUUUGCUUGAAAAUGGAGAGCAUUGAAAAUGCGAGUGACUUUGUCCGUGGUCACCGCUUGCGAGGCGCAGAGGUCGCACAUCUGGAGAAUCCACCUGACCAGACAGGGAUCUCCUGCCAUCAAGGACAGCGCGAAAUCGAUGAAGAAAGCUUGAGUUAGAAGCUUGAGAGUGUGGUCACCUUGGAUUGCUCUUGACUUUUUUCAGAGAUUCCAGCUACGUGCUUUCGACACGAUCGCCGACAUUUGACCGGCUCCUCUGGUGCGAGUAGACAUCGCUGAGCUUCGUUUGCACGAUCCACAGAGCGAAUUUGUCGAGCCUGAGCACGCGGCGGGAUUGAGAGAGAGAUUGGGCUCUUGUUCUUCUAGAGACGGGGAGGAAGGGAAAAGAUCGCUGGCAGUGCACAACGAGAGUGGACUUGAGCCCGGCCUACGCAUUUCGGAGAUGCGAGCACAUAAUCUACCAGAAACCAUCGCCAUCACAAACGAAGCCUCCAGAUCUGGAAAUUCCAACUGAAAACCUGCUUAUAAACAGUGGGCUUAAAUAUUUUUUUGCUCAAAGUGCUUUUUCGUGUGCUCUUACCAAACAUCCAGUUUUAUACUUCCCAACGCGCGGGCCUCGUUUACGCUGCCGGAGUUUCUGUUCACGGCAGGCAAUGGUGUUGGUUUCCAUCCACCUCGCAUUGCCUUGGAACAAUGGAAUGUUGGAAAGUCGCCACUCAAACACUUAAACGUUGAGGGUCUCGCAUGUGCAGGAGGAAAGAUGACGCUGGUGGUGAGCAGCGAGAUCUGAGUGGAGGUUUUGGUGGACGAGAUUUUCUGCUAGCGAUGGGAUAGGCACACUUGUGCCUUUCGGAUUGUCAUUUAUUUAUUGACCAGUUUCUAUUCUUGGAAUCGCGAAGUCCACGAAGGCGAAAAGAUUUCAUGCUAAGCGAGCGCUCUACUUAACAGGAAGAUGAAAAUGCAAAAAGCUUUUACCAUUUUCACAAACAGAGCUAUCCCCGUUUUGCUCUACUCCUGUCUCGAACCUAAAGUAUCGAACAGUGUUUCAAGGGCUUUUGAUGGUAGUGGUGGAGUGUCGCUGUUUCCAAUGCUCAGAGGUAUCCAAAUCCUGGCCAUUCUCAAGCUCAGGAAGAAAGAGUCUAACAUUUCCUGGGACAUGAGUGUGCACCUGGAGGCUUAAACUUAUGUUCACUAUACAUGUAUUGUUGUUAUUUUUUAUGUUAUUAUUUUGUUGUUAUUUAUGUUAAUUUACAAUUGUAAAGUUUGUAAAUAUAUGUAUGCAUAUAUAUGCUAGGUAAUACAUUAAUUAUAAUACUAUACCAUCCAUUUAGGACUAAAUUAGUCCAUCCAUUUUUGUAUAUAAUUCAUAUACCUAUUCAUAUAUUUUGAACACUCACAUUGGUAAAGGUGAGGAAAGGCAACUUUUUUUUGUAAUCUAGUAUUCAAGAUGCAUUUGAUCUAGUGUUUAGGAUAUUGUUCUUUGUUUUUAUUUUUUCAUUCUUUUUUAAAUCUAGAUUUUUAUUAGCUUUUUGCAAGAUCUAAAACUCUAAUUGUAGUUGUGCUUAGAUUUACUCUUUCUUUUUAUUUUUAUUGAAUUUUUUUCUUCUUCUACUAUGCCAUGUCAUCAUCAAUCAAGGAAUAUGUUAUUUGAGAUUGUUAAUGUUACUCCAUUGGAUCAAACCUUUAAUGCUAUGGGGUAUAAUUAUAUUGGUGUUCUUGGUGUGUUGCUAUCUCAAAAUUUUAUAGGUGAUUAUAUAAUUUGUUCUGUUCUCGGUAUUAUGCCAUCUUUUGUUGAUAUGAAACAUGAUUGUGACAUCAAUUGGUGAAUUAUAGAUGAUGUAAUCUAGUUUUUGGCAAAUGUUCAAGGAUCUAAUUUAUAAGUAUGAGCUUGAGUGAAUUCUAGAUUGUUUUGAGAUUUUGCGAGAUAAGUGUUAAUCCUUUAAUUUCUUAUUUGAUCCUUUUAUUUUUACCUUUUGUUCUUUUUGAAUUAUUUAUUUAUUUUUUGAUUUGAACCACCUUUUUUUAUUUCUGAUAUUUCUUCCUCAUUUGUAAUGUUUCCUUUUCAUAGCACAUGGAUCAUUUGUGACUUUUAUCAUUCUCAUUCUCAAUCUAGUGUCCAUCUUCUACUCCACUGCAAUGAGUUAUGGCGAGGCUUGGCUUGGAUUGAUCUUCAGAAGGCGUGGCUAGUGGAAGUGAAUGCUCCUGCCUAGCAUGGAAAGCUGGUAUUGUGUUCUCCCGCAACGAGUUUGGCACCAGCCUUGAGAUUGGGAGGUAUUUGGCAGGCGAGGAGGGAGUGAGCACCGAGUACGAAGGGACCACCUUGCUGCGAGAGGAAGAAAAUCAAAGUAGCCGUUGAUUAUGCAAUCAACAUUUUCAAUGUGACACUUUUAAAAAGGUCAUGGUCAAACUAUUUGCUUAAUGUUUAAGCUUUAGACUGGUCGUAAAUAUGAGCAAGGAUAAUUCAACCAUGUCAGAACGCAGGACGUAUUCAUUUAGAAACUCAUGCUUGAGCUAGACAAACCUCUGUUCUCAGCUGGACAAGAAACUAAGAAAAGACCAAAGUGAAGUUGCUGUUUUGGAAAGAUUCGCAGCUUAUUAAUUUAAAAAAUUUACAACUGUAUUAACGUCUUGAUCGUCUUGUCCCGGAGUAGAUUUCUAGGAUCCUAAAAACUCGACCCUAUAGCAGGAGAUGUCACGCCUACUGAUCAGUACGUAAGCAUUUGCCAAAGAAAACUUACAAUGUGCUCGUGACAAAGUUCGUGAGUUACAGGAGGAAAAGCUUGACGGUUUUGAGGGCCUCCCUUUGCCUUGUUCCAUCAGCACUGGCUCCAGUAGCAUUCUCUAAAUUUCUAUUUUCGAAGUUCUGUUCCUUGUCAAAAUCCAUUUAGAUAUUCCCUUGUCUGAGAAACCUUGUUGCCCUACAAUAUUAUUGCGACAGUGUUCCUGGGGUCGUUUGCAUCAAAGCGACAGGAUGGGAAAAUCCAGCAAGAUGGAAAGCCAAAUGGCACUCAGAGCCGCACGACUAAGCCAUCAACUCGGCUUAGAGCUGAUUGAGCGUGACUUGUGGUAACCUUGAGCGCGAAGAAUCUACAAAGACCAAUUAGACAAUGAUAAUGAUCUCCACAUGGCAAACUGUCCUGUUUCGUUUUAUUAAUAUAUCACAGAGAAUACUUAUGCUUCUUGAUGGGCACCACAAGACUAUAAACAGUAUAUAGAUAAAUUUAUCAUCACCUUUCAAUGUUCCAGUGGAAGGCAAAAAUUUGCUACAUUGACAAAAGUACUUGGAAUCCAAAGCAUCUAGCUUUUAGAUAUUUAUUAAUUUUAUUGUAGUUUGUAUAUAAAGUCUUUGUUUCCCUGAUUGUCUCUUUUCAGAAAUUGAGAUUAAAAAAUAUCAAGACAAUAGAUAGCUGUUAUUUUCAAGUAAAUGAAGGUCACGAGGGGCUAUGAUUUGAUUAUUAUUUAGAAAGGUGUUUUAGCUUGAAGCAGGGGACAUCUUGGCUCAAUUGACACAGUCUGGAUAUUAGAAACCAAAGGUGUUAUCUGCAGCCUCUACAGCCUUCUUUUUGGCGUCUGGGUUCAUCUUGUCAAUGACCUCCUUGCGUGGCUUAAACUUACGGAAGGUGAACUCUGCAAAUAGAACAAAAGGAGCGUGCAGUCUUCAGUGGUUUACAUUAGACACCUCACCUCCAAUGAUGCCAUUGGAAUCCUCCUGAUGGAACACAAUACGGUUGCUAUCAGACCAAGCAAAGAGUUUGAUGCGGUACACCUGUACUCAUAAGCAUGAGCUGUGACUGAAAUACGAAGGGCAGCCUGGGCACAAACCUUGAAGUACGGGUUUUGCAUGUCAGGGUACCUUAAGACCCCGAUGUCAAUUAUGGUCUUCUCAUUGGUGCUCAUGCUUGGCAAAGAAAUUUUCAAAGCUGGUAAUGGUCGCCCCUGACUGAGCAACAAUUUCCCCAAGAACUUUAGUGUCGAUCUUGGUUGAUUUCAAGACGUCCUCAUCUGCGAUGAGAUUCACAAACCAAACCUGAACCUGUGACGAGAGAAGGCCGCAAAGGUUAAUAGAGCUCUUCCAUAAUACAUAACUUCUAUUACCGCUUUCACAGUAGCUGGGUCCGGUGACCCGUCAAACUUGAAAUCGCUAGAGCUUUUGUUGAGAAACUUGUCAGCUCUGCUAACCCCAUCGCCCAUUGGCUCAACCAGGGGAUUUUGCAUGAACAUGGAGUUGACCUUCUCCCAAGUUCGCUCUUCUGGUGGCACUUUGGCGAGGAGAGUGGUGGUUCCCGAGAUGCAAACCUUGAGAACCUCAUCCAUCUUCUUCACUGUUUCUGCAUUCAAUGCCCCAAACGAUGGUGCCAGGUUGGUGUGGAGGUAAUCCUCGGAACUCUUGGAACGCACAUCAAUCUGGAGCAUUCCACAAGGAGUUAAGCACUGCUUUGGGCAAGACAGGUUCCACUUUACCUUGCUGAAAUCAAAAUUCGCCACAAUGUCACCAAUCUCCUUCAAUGAACCGAAGGCGAGCAUUGUCGCCAUGGUUGCCAUUGCAAUUCACCUUCAGAAGAGGUAUGUACACCAGAAGAAGACUCCAUUUUUAUAAUGGGCUAAAUGAGUUAGUUUAGUGCAGAAAACAUGGUUAACCAAAAUGAAAGUAUAGCUUGACGUGCUGCAUGACUUCGUCAUACAUAUACCUCCAAAAAUGCAUACCCGGUUAAAAAACAAAAGGUGAUUAGGUGGAUUGAGCGUUCUGAAAGAUUAGUUUAGUGCAGAAAACGAGUUCGGUGCAGGAAACGCAUUUACACCAAACAGAAAACGCCAAGCCUCCUUCGGUGCAGUAGUCCCAAUAUAGCUUGACCCAAGAAAAUCAGGUACGCAUAUGCUUUUAGGGCAUGAUAAACUGCCGUACAUUGCUUUGGGUAGAUUGCAGCGUCCUCUCCUUGCCAAAUGCGUAGACGACUUCCGCAUUGCGUCGCAAAGGAACCAGUGCUUGUGGAAAACCACGGGUCCACUAAGUCAACUUUCACAGCAUCGUCUCAGGAGAGUUCAUUCAGCUUUAAAAAAGUUUAAACUUUAAAAACCUUUGUGAAGGAAAUGGGUGAAAUCACACACUGAUCAGGGGAGAGUUCCUAGAUUGGGAGCCUGACUUUGAAGGCAGGAUAGGGAGGUGUUGCGGGCAUUUGUUUUUCAAUCCUAGCAUGUUAUGAUCCUAUUUUUUACACUUUAAGUUAACUGGUUAAAGGGGUAAUCAUUUGAUUGUAAGGUUUCUUCUUUAUCCUAUUAUCUUGACCUGUUAUGUAACAAUGUUUUUUUAUCCUAUUAUCCUGACCUGGUGCUUAACAAUUUUCCCCUCAUCAGGAAAUAAAUUGCAAUCAUAAUUAAGUUACCCUUUAGUUACCAUGGUCCUUUUUUAGUGUUUAUUAAACUUUGGUUUUCCUUUUAGAUCCAUUAUGUUAAGUAUUCUUUCAAAAUAUUUUUGCCCCACUUGUUAACAAUAGGAUCUUAUCUGUUACACCUUAAAACCAACUGACUAAAAGGGUGUUUAAGGCUCUUUCUUUAUCAUAUUAUCCUGACCUAGUGCCUAAGUUUAGCUUUUGACCCAUGACUUUGAAAAAAAUCAGAUAAUCAUUUCAUAUGCUUUUAAGGCAUGAUAAACUAUUCAACUUAAAAAACAGUUUAAGCUUUAAAAACCUGACAUUAGUGCUGGGUUUUGAGGGUGACUAACAAAUCAACGUAGCCGUAGAUUAAUUGCUGAGUUCAAGUAUGAAAAUCAACGAUAACAUUUCCAAUGACUGAAGACUAUGUUGACUAAAAAUUGACUUUUAGCGAAGUUCUACGGUCAAACUAUUUGCUUAAUUAGACUCACGCUUCUGAAUUGUACAGGUCAAGAAGAAAUCCUACCUUCGUAGAAACGAUCAGCUUUGCAAGAUGGCACGGCCCAAGUUGGAUGCCAGCGCCAAUCUCAGGCGAUCCACAGCGCCAGGCUCUGCAGUGCUUAGGAUGUCGUCCUCUAGCCGGUCCCUGGCGAGGAAGAGUUCCUGGAGGCAGCAGAGUAGCGUGUUUGUUUCGGACUCGCUAACCAGCACUUGCUCCGGCCAUUCCAGCAGCUCCACCUGAUCGAUCGGAAGUUUAGAGUGUAAACGAGAUGUGAGAACAGCUCCAUACCGAUUCUUGGAGCAAGGACAGCCAGAAUUUACGUGGAAAGGUUCCAGAUUUUAGAAGCUGCAAGCCGGGGUAUUAGCGAGCAAGAAGAAGUUCCGAACGGAUUGGUAACCUGGAGAAGAGAGGUCACCGCUGCUCUGCCAAGCGCAGCGAGGUUUUCCGUGUAGGAAGCCUCUCUACGACGCAGAUCUCUGAUGUUUUGCAGGGCUGCCUUAAAGCUUUUGUACCUGCGUGAGGCUGGAAGUGAGCUCCGGAUAGUUUCGCAACUGUAUGAAGUGAGUACCUUGCUAGGAACGACAGGCCUUGAUGCUUCGUUGCUCCCGAGCCAAGGAUGUCACAGAGACCCUCAAAAUGCUGGCACGGGAAAAGAGCGUUAAAAGUGUGCGUGUAUCAAAUAAAACGUAAGACUGCUACCUCGAGAUUAUCCAGACUAUCAGCUUCACCAGACGUUAUUGUGUUCAAAAUCUGAUCCGCAAGAGUAGAAAGUCUCUGCUCGUCUCGGGCCAAUUGAAGCCACAUUAUCCCUUGGCCCUUCUUUCCAUGCUUUAAACUAUGAACACCAACAGCCUGGAAGACAUAAAACACAGGUGAGAACCCCAAGCCUGGAAAGGAAGAGGAUACUAAACCCUGGCGAUGGCUGUGCUGACGGUAUCAAGUUCAUAGAGGCGGCAUAUCUCUAGUGCCUGUUGCACAAAAUUCACAUUAAGAUUCAAGAAAACGUCACACCAAGACCAACCUUCAAUGCCAGUUUCUGAUUGGAACAACUCUGCUUCAUUAGGAGAGCUUCAAGCAUUCCCAGGCCUUGCUUUGGGCAAGCCGCGAGGUAAACAGGUGCUAGCUGAGAUAAUUGUUAGACAGACAUCAAGAAGAAAGAAAUCAACGAUAUACCUGCCAGGUUAAGCUGUGCGAAGACAGUACUUGAGAAUAAACCAAACGAUGGAGUUCUUUCAAGCUCAAGCCGCCUAGAGUUUGCCUGUCUUCUUCAAGAAGAGAUCGAACGUCCUCCCCUUUUGCUAUCAGGAGAUCAUCAACAUGCGCCAUCAUCCUGAUAGAAAAUUUAUAUAAAUAUUCGACAUUGAGAAGUUCUUACCAGGCAUUGAAAACCUUCGAACAAUUCGCCAAGAGUAUCUGCAUAGUACUAGAUUAAACUCCAUUGUGACGGGGACGAGCAUUUACCUCGGUGUCGUUGCUGAUAAUUGCAGAUAAAAGUUCUUGAAGGUCUUCGUCCCCAGAACUUUUCAAUCCUUUGCACUUGGAAGCUAUGCUACGCAUUCCAUCUAAGACCUGCACCCGAUAAUUGCAAGUGAACUUAGCACACUACACAGUUCAUACAUACCAAAGAAAAAGGUAUCAGAUGUAGGAAAUGCGCCACCAGCAGCUCCAUCCAGUGAAACGUAGAGAGCUGUAGAACAUCAACGUUUCCCAAUAGCACCUGUAUUAGCUUCUUAAGACCAAGAAGCGUCCCACGGUGGUUGCAUUCCGCCCAAAACACACUACUUUCAAGCUUGGAAACCUGACUUCGCCAUUUUUCUCUCGCCUGCAUGUAAUAAAAUCUGAGAAACUAAAAACUUUGCUGCAACAACAUCAAACCUUAGAAAAGUCAGGCUUAAAACCUAUAGCAACACCAGGACUUCCAUCAGGGAGCCUCGGGCGCAGCCGCGGCAUUUGCAUAAUGAGCAGUGUAACUGCUUCUACGAGGCCAUUUUCAGUCUGCCAAGACAUAAAAAAGCAUCCGGAAGUUAACCCAAGUCAACAAAACAGCAUGGAGAAAGAAACCUGCCGGUCAUCAAGCUGAUCCAAUCGAUACGAUCCAUGCAUCCGCAAGAACGCUAUCUGGAAGAUUAAGAUUUACCAAUGGAACUUACACGCACAGUUUUACAACUUACAACAACGUCAAGCCAUCCGACUGACAAGGCCGAGGCCAUUGCAUCCCAGUAAGCUACAUCGUCUUCGGGAAACUGCAAGUGCAAGUUAAAAAUUGAUACACAAAGAGAAAACAAAAAGCUGCAAGACUUCGAACUUACUUGAAUCUCGGAAAGCUUCCGCUGGAACGACACUACCUUGGAAUGUACAGUGUCUUUAUCACUCAAGAGGACUUUGUCAUACUCCUGCAAAGCUCACAGGCAAAUCAAUCAUAAGUCAAGAAAAAACUCACUGCUUCUUACCGCUAGCCAGUCUACAAGACGUUCCGGAAGCCACCAUGUCGCGCUUCUGUCCACAUAGAAAACUUCUAUGAGCUCCCACACAGCCUUAAGCAUCGACGUCUUCUCCUCCUGCAAGAAAAAAAAAAAAAAUCAAAUAAAUCUUUCACAUCAUCCUCUCACGCAUGAUACAAUGGCUAACCUUGCCUUGAAUGGGCUGGUCGAGAACGCUGCGAAUGCUCUUGCUAUACUCUAAUACAUGCUCCCACCUGCGAUCACACCUAGCGUUUCUAGAGAAAAAAGAGAAGAAUUUUUCAUACCAGUCGCCUGGGUUGUAGCCCAAUUGCCGCUGGUUCUGGAGAAGAGCAAAAGCCGGGAGAGAAUCAUACGCCAGUCGCCGCCUCUCGGCAUCCCAUCCUUCUCCCAGAUGAAUCUCCGUGACUCUUCCACCGCCUCCCACAGCAUUCUCGAUGUAGGAGAGCUGGAGCUGGUUCCCAUUGCUCCACGACACCCACAAUCGCCCUGGAUCCCUCAAUCCGCCCGGUACGCUGUAGAUUACCGCGGCCGAGGAGCUGGAGGACCCAUCGCCACCGGCAUUUCGCUCCCCGUUCUCCAGCUCCUCGAGGCGCCGGAUCCCCGGCAUCGCGCGCUCCACCCAAAGCUAAAACCCUAAUACGCUGGAUCAAAUCCCAGCCGUUGAAAUUAGGGUUCUUGGGCGUGUGGUCUGGUGAAAACCGCCCAGGAAUGCUCACCCGGGCUAUCGAUCGAUCCGAUCGGGAUGGAGUACAAUGUAGUGCUGCUGGUGAUCGUGGUGCUCCUCACUCUGCUCGUCUUCGCGAUCAAUAUCUACAUUCUCAUCAGGUACCAGCAUCCGGAUGACUCGAAUCAGGCAUAUCUUCCCAAGAUCAUCGUCGUGAUUGGGCUUAGCAUUGCUCAACUCUCGAUCCUGAUGCUCCCGGCGGACGUCGCGAAUCGCCAUUCCUGCGAGAAGAAUCUCUACGUCGGGGCGUGUAAGCUCACUCUCCCGAUGAAGCAGCUAUGGUGGGCGGUUUACAUCAUCGACACUGUGCUUGUCUAUCUCGUCAUUCCCUUCGCGAUCUUCUUCUACGAGGGCGAUCAGGAGAAGUAAUCUUCCAUCUCUUUGUAGAACACUCGAUCGACCGAGCUCCUCCUAGAGUUUCUUAAGUUCUUUCUAUUCCUCCAUGAUCUCAAAAACUUUCUUUGUUCUUGGUGAUUUCCAGGACUGUGACACAAAGGAUAAAGAACGCUCUCUUGUGGGUGGUGAUACUCCUCACUGUCUUUUGCCUCCUCCUUGGAAUUCUCUAUGGUAAGAAGCUCUUUUCUAUCUUUCGUUCUUAAACUCUUUUUCUACGUGAUUGCUUGAAGCUGUGAUCGGCUAUGCCGAUUUCACCGUGAGACGUCUUUCAUCCACGACGUUGGCGUUCACCAAUGAUUUUAGCUCGCUCAAUGCAAAGGCUCCGUGCUUGUUUCCGGCUGGUUUCUCAUUGUCUUCGAAUGUUACUCUCAUGGUAAGUUCUUAGCGCUUUUCUCCUUGUUUUUUUUUUUUUUGUUUUUUUGUUUUUUUGUUUUUUUGCAUUGAUCUGGGCAAUGUUUUAUAAUAGUGUGCAGCUUAUACGUCUGGAUCUCUGGUUAAAACUACGUGGUCUGUGCGUGCGCCCUUCCCGACUUACGUGAUCGCGUUAAAUACAAUAAUAGGAUCAAUACUCUUCACGGUAAUGUCGUUUGUGUUCUAUUUUCUAGAAGAUGUGAUUUUCUUCCUGCAGAUGUUUGGCGGUGUUGGAAUGGCAACAUUACCACUGAGCCUCAUAUUUGCUUUCAAAAACAGGCCCAAGUGUGUUAUUACUCGUGCUCAAUACGUAAAGGUGUGUGUGUGUGAUUUGUUCUCGUUUCUUGCAACUAAUAUCUUCAAGGUGAUGGCUUUGCAGGAGGCGACUGAUCUAGCCAAGCGCUCUAACGAGCUAAAAGCGGCGACUUUGGGCCUCCAACGCGAAGAGAGAGGUGGGAAGAAAGGACGGAAGUUUCGAAAAAAUGUGAAGAAAGUCCAGCAGGUCAGCACCACUGCGCACAGAAACAAAAGCAAAUGGUGGACGUGAUCGUGUUGACAAACGCAUAUGUGUAGCUCGAUUCAGGAGCUUGUCUUUUUGGAAGAUGAUGUUGAAGCUCUGAACGAGGCAUUCCCACAGGGAGAGAAGGUACCGUUCUAGUUUACCAUCUAAGUUUUUGUGCUGAUUCUACUGCUGGUUUUCUCUCAGGCAGACACAUCCUGGGCUCUUACGGUUCUCUUCUACCUAGCCAAGCUUGUUUUUGGCAUUGUCGGGUAAGAAAGUCCUUUUAAGUCUUGAGAAAAAGAUUCAGUCUUAUUAUUUCUCUUGUUGCAGUUUGGCUUUGUCUAUAAUUUGGCUUCUCCACAUCAUUGUUUUCAUGCUUGUCAAUCCUCCAGCUUUUCCGUUUCUGAACCAAGUCUUUAUUCAGCUUGACAGUGCCUGGGGUACUUUCUGUUGAUGCGAUCUCUAGACCUGAAUAGUUUCCUUCCUUUCAGGCUUGCUAGGAACUACCGCGUUUGCAAUUUUUUGCUACUACCUCGUCAUGUCUGUCAUAUCUGGAGAGAUGCAUCUGGGAAUGAGGCUUCUUUUUCUUUCCAUUCAUCCAAUGAAGUAAGCAUUUUUUUAAAAAAUGCAUUUUCUAGAAUGUAAUGGUUUUUAUUAUGAAACUAUAGGUACCAAGGCACGCUCAUGAACUCGUUUCUUUUCAACGUGGCCAUUAUCCUUCUAUGUUCAACAAGGUAUCGUAGUUUUAACAUGGUUUUUAGCAAGCUCAAAACUGUUUGCAGCGUGAUUCAAUUCUGCACGAAAGCCUUUUCAUUGUACGCCGAAGCUACUGCCGCUCAGGAAAUAUUUGGCCACUCGCUUGAGUCAUUGAGAGGUUUGAAGUAUCUCUUCAUGUACGGCUUGCUUUGUUUCAGUUCCUGGCUUGUUUGUUUUGAUCGAUUAACUCGGCCUUCGUAUGGCUGUUGCAGAUUCAACGUUUUCCAAAUAGCAUUCAUCGUGUUUGCGUUUUUGAGCUUCCUUUGCUACUGGACAUGCGUAAGUUUUCCCUUGAACAUUCCUGGGAACUAUCUGACGAGCACGGGAAUAAACUCAGGGUAAAAAGCGACAAAGGAAGACAAAGUUUACUAUCGAACGGGACAAGAAGGAAAAAGAGAAGAGGGACAAGAAGAAGAAGAAAAAGAAGGAAGAAGUGUGAGAACUACACACACGAGGUAACAAAACACAUUCUUUACAACUCGCUGGGGUAAUAACGUGAACAACACAGGGAAAAUAGAAGCUUUCGGGAUGAGCACAAAUGGAUGCAAUCCAUUGAGGGCUUUUGGGAUGAGUAUAGAAGUUACUCAAAAGGCAAAGUUGGAAGGUUUACACGUUUCAACUGUGGCAUCUGGCAGCGCGUAUAUAAGCCGAGGCAGGCACUGCAAGGCAAGGUAUCUAGAUCUCUUUCGUUUUUUCGCGUUCCUGGUUUCCACUCUAGUGUUUGCUCGAUCGAUUGAUCGCUCUCUCGGCGAUGGCUACUGCGAUCUCGCGCGCUCUUGUCAUCGCGCUGCUGCUCGCGGCCGCGAUGCUAAUGGUCGUGGAAGGAAGUGCGAGGAUGGCCGCCAAGAAGAAUGCUGAUCACGAUGGAGAUGACGACGAUCGGGAGUGGGACGAAAUCCAUGCUCAGAAUCGUCACGACGAUGACGAUCCCCACCACUACUACCGCCACCGCCACCGCUGCCACCAUGGUUACUGCCCGCACUAUAGUUCUAGCGCUGAAACUGGCAAAGCUGGUGGAGCCGACGUUAACUCCAGUGGUGGUGACACCGCCGCGAAAGUCAACGCCGAGGGUGACAAUUGAAAGUUACUCCGAAAAGUCAAGCCAUGUACUGAGUUGUAUAUAGGGAAAUAAACAAUGAAUAAAAUCAACUGCGUUGCAAUGUUUAUCUUUAUGGCAUCUUGCUGUCCAGCAUUUUAUGUCAAGUUGCAAGUUUUUACAUCGCCAUUGUAGUCCAAAUAUUUAUGCCAUUCGGACUCUCAAUAAAACCACAGAUAAAAAAGAAGUUACAAGAGAGAACCACAGGAAAAGAAAAAAAAAAAACUCUCAAGAAGAGUGGAGAGAACCACAAGAAAAUAAAAUCGGGCUCAAUGACACUAUCAAUGGCAAUUCCUAAUUCUCGUGCUCUUCUCCUUGUGCUGAUCACUGCUGCCAUUUAAUAGUGACAGGAACUGCGAGGAUGGUAAUCUUCAAGCUCAAGACCACCCACACCACCACCAACACGCUCUUGCAUUGGAUGAUCUUAGUGAAGCUCAACACGACUAUAACUACUACUACUACCACUAAUUAUGGAGGUGACGCCACAGCCACGGCAGCUACUACCAUGGUCCUGCAAUAAGAACGCCAGCGUCCACGCCAGCGGUACCGGUGGUCAGGCAGUCAACUCCGGUCGCCCCAAUGCCAAUGGCGGCGAGCAAGUUGCGUUGCGGCUGGCAAAAGUCAAACGGCGGGCUAGUCACUUGGUUUUGACUGUGAAAAUAAAUAAUUUCAGUUCCGCGUCCCAUUUCUCGUGAUAAACGAGCGCGCCUGGAAGGACGGGAUAUGCCACGUGGGCAUAUUCCUUGAGGAAUAUGCCCCAACAUGCCAGGAAUAAAAGGCUUUAGUAUUUUAGGGUGGUCCAAAAAUUUGGGGCCUGGGCCUCUGGAGUGGCGAGAGGGCAGGAUCGAGCGAGAGCGAGCGAGCGAACGAGCGAGAAUAGAGGAGUAUCGAGGGGAGAUGCCAAUAGCGCAGCGAUUGAGGAUCACCAAGAGCGACACGAGCGAUCAAAUUGCCUUGUUUGAUCAUGGCGAUGGCGGCGACAACAGUGGUAGGAGGCGAUCGUUCGAUUACACAAGCCUCAGCGAUCUCAUGUCCAGCCGCGUAAAGAAGCAGCAAUCCCAGCACCAAUCUCUCAAGAAUCCCAGCCCCUCUCCAAGGAUUCCCAUCAAGAACAGGCUAGUGGAGCAGGCCGCCAAGGCCUACCUCCGCCCAUCGUCUCCACCGACAGCAAAAGCGAGGAACUCCGCCAAGUGCUCUCCCUCGAGCUGCGCCUGGCGGAGCUACAUCAGGAUCCCGUUUGAUGCCUGCCGCGCGCUCUUCGUGUGGCUGGAUCUUCGCAAUCUCUUCCGGCCUCUCAAGUGGCAAGCGUUUGCGACGACGAGGAUGCGAUGAGUCUCGACCGACGGCGCAAGAGUUUGAUCGAUCCAAAGUCGUGGGCUCACGAGGAAACCGCAGUGGAGGAGUUUUCCAUCCAUAGCUCUCUCGCUCGGCGCCGUCGAGGAGAAGGCAAAAGGUUGUCGUGUACAAAAAGACGUUUUCUCCUGUAUAAAUGGAAGCAUUCAUUAAAUGAUCACAGACUGUGUAGCGUGUUUUCUUUGCGGAUCUGUUUCACGUACCUCUGAAGGAGUCAAUCGAAACUUCGCCAGAGCGUAAAAACCAAGUUUUUUCAGAUCAUCGCUGGAGAAGAAAGAUCAAACUCUAUAAACAAAAGAGCUUACACUCAUUGGAGAUUCGCCUCAAUGAUCGCGCGCGCUGGAAAAACAAUGGAUUAUACGACUUGUGGUAGCGUGAAAACUUGGAAUCCCUGUUUGAUUCACGGCGAGGUGUCCAAAAAUCUUCAAGGCCCCUGUCACACCACACGAAACAUUCAAGUCAAUGGGACCCAAGACAGUUUAACAAAGUGGCACACCUCCAAAGCUCUGGCGAGAGACGACGAAACCAUCAAAUCGCCGCGCCGCUACUUGGCUGCUGCUUGCUCGCUUUGGCUGCUGCUGUUUUCCUUGCUGCCACUGCUUCCAGAAUCCAGAUCCAGACCAGGAACCUCGAAUCCACAGCCAAAUCUGUCCACCUCCACCCGUAGCUCCAUUAAUUCGCUGCUGUCCUCUAGUCCCCCGAGAAACUCCCCGUGUUCUCUCUGCACGGGACGAGCUGUUUCGUGGCCGGUGUUCCUGCGGCCAUGAAAGAAUAAAUAAAAAAUACACUCCUAUACGGCAACAGCGUUUUUGUUUGGACUUCUCAGUUCUGGAAAACACUCCGGCUGCCUGGAACAAAUGCGACGGUGCGUAAGUCACUGUUCGAAAAGGACUGCUGGUGCUCACCAGUGAGACCAAGACGCCGCCGCAAAAAUCCCACUGCAAGAGAUGGUUGCUUGUUCCAUCUCUUGGGCGAGCCUGAGUGUUCUUCUUUACUUACCUGAUGUAAGCUGCGUGCUGUUCACUUGCUUGAAUGCGACUUGCCGCGCCGCAAUAUGAUUUGCGAGGACAAUCACAACAAACCGCGAGCAGACUUCGGCCUCGCGAGAUUUUUCUUGCCGGUCGCUUUCCUCUUUGGUAAAAGACCAUUCCUCCGCAGGGACCCCUGAGAGAGAGAGACUUUCAUGCGCCAUCAACGUAACAAAAAGUCGAAAAACAUAACGUACCUUUAAGACCAGCCAUAAGAUUAGCAUGGAUAAGCGCAUCCUCGGCCAAAACUCGCAAGCUUUCUCCUCAGUCCGGCAAGCUCUCGUGAAAAAAUCGAUGCUCCAGACAUCUUUUUGCCGCAAGUGUUGUAUCUCCAUGACUGAAAUACAUAAGUAGCAGUGGACUCCGAGUGAAUGGACGAGAGAAACUCGUUCGUAUAAGGUGCCUGCCAAGAGCUUCUUCUAUCAGGUGAAGUUUUUGGAUGAAAUAAGUUACAUACCUCUUCGUUGCCUGUUCUUCAGAAGUGUGGAUCAUCCACACAAGAAAGCGGCCGAUUCGCCCACACACCCCUGGAUCAUUGUGACAAUGAGGAGAAAGUUCUAAGAGCAUAGUUAACGGUGGCAGCAUUCUUCUUUUGGCCGAGUUGUGAGCUCCUCUUCCCUGUAACUUGUGUAAAAUGCGGCUGAUCUUACGAUCCCGGAGCCAGCGCCUCGCAAGAACCAUCAAUCCCCUUCUUGGAGCUCGUGAAAAUCAGCCCUCCAUCGCAGUGAGCGAUCAAUCCACGCUCUGGCGCUAUCUUUCUUCCUCAAACCCUAAUCCAAAUAUUUUCCCUCUAGAAUGAGAACGCUCCAGGUCUUGCGGGCGGGGACGAUACCCUACAAUCGAGCUCUGGCACUUCAGCGCAAUCUCCACGAGCAGCGGCGCAGUGGCGGCAUCGAUGACACGCUCGUCCUGGCGCAGCAUCCUCCCACGAUCACGCUCGGCCGCCAUACCCUAAGCCGCCACAGCCUCUCCGACGCCAUUCUCACGCCCCAAUCCGAGCUCCAGCGCCUCCAGAUCGAGGUCCACCAGACGCAUCGCGGCGGCGAUGCCACAUUCCACGGCCCCGGCCAGCCGAUUCUCUACCCUAUCGUCUCGCUCCGGGCGCUGGGGAUUGGAAUCCGGCUCUUUGUCGAGCGGCUGGAAGAUCUCAUGCUGGAAGUGGCGAGGGAUUACAAGCUCCAGGCCGGAAGAAUCCCUUCCCAGACAGGCUGCUGGAUCGAUCAGCGACGGAAGAUUGGCGCGCUGGGGAUCAGCGCUCCCCAGGGCGUGACGAUGCACGGCCUGGCAUUCAAUGCCAACACCGAUCUGGAUGGAUUUAAGCACAUCGUCCCGUGUGGAAUCCUGGACAAGGAGGUCACGUCGCUCGCUCGAGAGCUCGGGCAGGAGAGAGUGGAUGAAAAACUAGUGGAAGAACAGCUCCUCCAAAGCUUCGUUCGUCUUAUGGGCUACGAGAGAGUGGUUUCUACUGAAAACCUUGGGGAAGGGAUUCGAACCGGGGACGUCCUCUAGCUUACAUAAAUUCCCGCCCAUUUUUUGAAGCUAGGGUCGAGUUGCAAUGCCUGGCAAGGUUGUGAGAAUGGCGCCGCGGCAGCGGAAGAGAGAGCGCACGCCGGGGGAAGCUCUCGUCGAUCGAUUCCUGGCGCUGUGCUCCUCGGAAGAUCGAGGUAAACUGCUGUUCAAGUUCUUGGAGCUGGAGCUCGCGGAUUCUCGCAAGGAGGCCCGGAUUAUCAAGCGACAGAUCAUCCGGAUGGUCCGCGACAAGAUCCCGUAUGCUCUCUUGUGAAUCUCCUCUUUCACGACUGAAAUUUGGGGGUGUUUUGGCAGCAAGUCCUCGCAUCUGGCACGACACAGGUAUGAUCUCCAUUCUUUCUUUCUGGCGCCAUGGCUAACGGUGCGAUCGUCAGGAAGAAUGUACCCAAGGCAUCGCCGGAGGAGAUCAUGAAGGCAAGAACGCGAGAGGAGGCGGAAACCAUCGAGAACCCCGAUUACCCCGACUGGUACUGUUUCAAACGAUUUCAUUGGGAUGAAAACCUCUCCACUGCAGCCUUGAUGACGAGGAGGACGCAAGGUUCGAUGCCUGGUAAGACCGCGAUUCGUAAUAGGCAGACUAUACAAAUUUGAUCCUUCUUUCUUUUUCCCUAUAUACUUUUCAUUUGCUUGAUCGAUCAGCUAUUGCCGUCUAAGCUGGAAAAGGCUGAGUGAGUUUGUCCGGCAAGAGAAUCCAGAGCUCUACGGGAAACUCGAUAAGGUGAUACACGGAAUGAUAGGUGGCAUGCCGGACAGCAACGAUUUGUACUACCACACCGAGUAAGGACUUUGCAAUUUGAUCAAUUGUUCGAUUCGAGCUCUUCAUUUUGCAGCUUUUUUGAAGGACCAGAGGGACUGUACUCUGCCUACUGCUAUCUUCACCUCAUGUUUCACGGGUCACAGCAGCUGGAAGACCUUCGUCCGGCUCUGAUGACGGCGUUGAGGAAAGAUCUGCCAAACGGCAAGAACUUAACGGACAAAGGCGUGAUGAAACUUUGCCUGCGUCGACUCAAUGACCGCAAUGCACUGAUCUUCUCCGUCCGUCUGAACUCCAGUGACUCCCAAUGAUCCCCGGGGUACGUUCUUACUUCCUUUGCCAGGAAGAAAAACUAAUCGAUUGUUUCUGCAUCCUUCUCACAGGCCGAAAAUCGAAUGGAUCCAUCUGGAGGUAAGUUCUUCGCAAUUAAACGAAGCUCAUCGAAUGCUUUGUAUGGUUCUUCUCAGGCCGGGAAUCGAAGUGGAUCCAUCUGGAGGUAAGUUCUUCGCGAAGCUCAUCGAUCUUUUUUCAUGGUUCUUCUCAGGCCGGGAAUCGAAUUGAUCCAGCUAGGUAGAGGUAAGUUCUGUGCAAUUAAACGAAGCUCGUCGGCUCACUUUUGCUUUCCCAGGGAUUAAUUUUCCAGUGUUUGCCACGUCAUCUUGUUCUCUCUGCCACGUGGUUUCUCGCGCAUGCACAUAUAGCGAAGUUUUAAAGCCCUAAUAGAUUCUUGAGGUUUUGGCUAUGGCGACGGGAUUCCUGGAAUGUAGGUACUGCUGAGGAUGCGCGCGUCUGCUGAGGGUGAUUCCAUCAACUGCUAGCUUUUCCUCUGAUCGUUCUCGCGGAGGUAAAAGUUUUCUCUCCUCUUCUUCUUGCGAUUUAAUUCUGGGUGCUUUCCAGGAUGAGGAGAUCGGAGCUUUUUAAGCAUGUUUUUGCGGCUUACAGGGCUCGCCUGGCUUCAUCCGCCACUGGCGCUGGGAUUCUACGCACUGAGUCCACUAGCUGCGCUGCUCAAGAUGUUCUCCGGGGCCAGCUUUACAGGUUUCUCCCUUCCAGCAAUCCAGGAACGCUUGGGUUUCCGCGAGGAAUUAGUUCUUGCGCUACUGCAAAGCCCGAUUCGAGCAAAAGAUUGAUUUCCGCGGUGAGACUGGGCACCGCUCACAGCAGCAACCUUCCUCCUUUGUUUGGGAAUUCGUGGAGGUCUGUGGCAAGUCUUCCUCCGGUUGGCUCUCUCCCCAAUUCCAUACGCUACAGCUUAUAUGGGUUGCUGCUGCUAACGUGCGCUGUUGGGACGUACUAUGGUACUCCGUGGUCUAGGACUCAAGAGGACGAGAGCAUCACCAGCAAAGAAGAGGAGACCGUGACUAAUUGGAGUAACACUCACGAAGCUCAUCCGAGGUACUACCAUCACCCAGAGACCCUCUACGACUUGGAGAGGAUUGUGAAGCUCGGGCAUGUCACGACGAGGACCAUCAGGCCUACUGGAUCCGGCCUUUCGCCGAAUGGACUGGGAUUCUCCAACGAAGGGAUGGUGAACAUGGCACUGAUGGACAAAGUCUUGGUUGUCGACGCGACGAAGAAGCAGAUAACGGUACAGGCAGGAGCUAGGAUUGAUCAAGUGGUGGAGGCCUUAAAGCCUCACGGGUUGACUUUGGAAAAUUACGCCUCUAUCAAGGAACAGCAAGUAGGAGGAUUUAUCCAGGUAUAAUUUCUUAUUGAGUUUUUCGACUUCCGCAAAGAUAACACUCGAAUUUUCCAGGUCGGAGCUCAUGGAACUGGAGCAGCCAUUCCACCCGGCGACGAGCGGGUGGUAAAGAUGAAGGUUGUUACUCCUACCCGGGGGACGAUCGAGCUUUCCGAAGAAUCCGACCCGGAACUGUUUCAUCUUGCUCGCUGUGGUCUCGGCACAUUGGGAAUCGUAGCUGAAGUUACUCUUCAGUGUGUGCCUGCCCACAAGCUUGUGGAGCAAACUCUCGUCUCCAACAUGAAAGAAGUACGAAAGAAUCACAAGUAAGCUUACUUUUUUGGUUUACUCCUGACUUGCUAAUUUGAUUAAAUGUCUUUUAUAGGAAGUGGCUUCAGCAAAACAGGCACCUCAGAUAUAUGUGGAUUCCUUACACGGACGUGGUCGUCGUAAUCCAGAGUAAUCCUCUGCUUGAAGGCCAAGAACCUCCUACCGAGAAGGAGAAAGAUGACGCUGGCAAAAUAAAGUCGAUGAUGGACGUCUAUAACGAUAUGGUUCGAAAGCGCGGGUAUGUAGUACCAAUAUUUCAAAUGGAUCUUGUAUGACUGUGAGCCGUUUUCUUCAGUCAGCCGGAAACGAAAAGUGAGAUGCCCCCAAAAGUUAAUGCCAUGGCUGGAAUAUGGAGUGGCACUGCUGCUGGAAGCAAAGGAUCUACCGGGACGGUAUACCAAGAGGCUAUGACUUUCCCGGCAAUGCGCGACAGAGUGCUGGCAUUUGCACCUCUUGAUCCCGAGCAUGUCAAGCGCGUCAACAAGGCCGAAGCAACCUACUGGAGACGAAACACAGGUUAUCGCGUGGGCUGGAGCCACGAGAUCCUGAGCUUCGACUGUGGUGGCCAGCAGUGGGUGUCAGAGGUUUGCUUUCCCGCGGGAACAGUGGACGAGCCCGACAUGAGCGACAUCAAGUUUAUGGAGGAGCUGCUGGAGCUGAUCAGAAAGAGAAACAUUCCAGCGCCAGGGCCUAUCGAGCAGCGGUGGACUUCGAGUAGCAGAAGCUCCAUGUCGCCAGCAUCAGAUCCUUCUCCAGAUCGCUUGUUCUCCUGGGUAAGCAAAUCUGAUUUUUCCUUUCUUUCUCAAACUUGUUUGUUGUCCCAUGUAGGUUGGAAUCAUCAUGUACUUGCCGACUGAAGAUCCUGCGCAGAGGCAGGCGAUCACCGAGAGCUUCUUUGACUACCGUGGUGCUGUCCAAAAGAAUCUCUGGGAUCCGUAUGGAGCGUACGAGCACUGGGCAAAAGUCGAGGUGCGUGACAUUAGUUUUCAAAGAUUGCGAUAGAUCGAUCACUCACUCUUCUUUACUUGCAGAUUCGAGAUAAGGAGGAAGCCGAGUGGUCCCGGGAGCGGCUCAAGAAGAGAUUCCCCGUGGAUUCUUUCGUCAAAGCUCAGAUUGAGAUCGAUCCCCGGGGAAUCUUUACCAACGAGCUUAUAGAGACACUCUUCCCGAAGUACCGCCAUGUCCAAACCCAGUAAGUAGAUUUGCUGACAGAGAAACAAAGAUGUGAUAAUAAGUAAUAGUUAGAAUUGUAGAAGUAUAAGUAUGGAACCUGCCUGAUUAUCGAUCGUCAAGACAAGAUCCAUCGAGAGUUUCAAAGCGAAACUUUUGUCGCUUGCUUUUUUGUUUGUAGAAGAAAAAGAAGUGUAAGUUCAUACAAGCUGGUCGAUCCAACGUAUCCAGGGCUCUAAGAUCAAGAACUCCACGGAUUUUUCAAUCCCCAAAGAAUAUUUAGCAGCGAGCUUAUAGAGACACUAAACUAAGAAAUAAACUAAGGACUAUUCGCAUUUAGAGGGUGACGAAUCAAGUUCAUAGCCAAAACGUAAGCACCUCCAUAGCCAGGAUGAGAUUUUACCAUAAGCUUGGCUGUGUUGAGGCUGUGCUUUAGGCUGUCAUGAUUUCUACACGCCCCAAGGAGGCACAUCCAGUCUAAACCAUCAGCCGCAAACGGCAUCUCAUUGAUCACCUCCUGGGCAUCUGUCAGAUGCCCGGCCCUCGCUAGCAAGUCCACCAUGCAAGUGUAGUGCUGCUUCGAGGGCUCUAUGCUAAAGUCUGUGGCCAUGGAAGUGAAGCACUGCAUUCCUUUGACGAGCUUUCCUUGGUGGCUGCACGAGAUCAUGGCCAUGGUGAAGUAGAAACCAUCUGGGAUCUCGAUUGUGAGCAUGAGCAUGAGGUUGAGAUCACAGACGAGCAUAAACUCCCCCACCUGGAAGUAGGCAUGGAGCAUGAUGUUCCAGAUUACAAGGCUUUGGAGAUGUGGGAUUCGAUCAAACAACUGUCUUGCUUUUAACAAAUGCCCUUCUUGGGCAUAUGCACAAAGAAGAGACGUCCAAGAUACUUCAUCUCUUUGGGUCAUACUGUAGAAGAACGAUUUUGCGUCUUUGAUGUAGCCCAUAUGGAUGUAGGCCGCGAGCAUUGAGUUCCAAGUAUAAAUGUCUUGUGCCGGCAUCUUGAGGAACAGGCACCGGGCAUCUUCUAGAUUCCCUGCCCGUGAGAAAGCGGCUAGCAUUGUGUUAAAGGAAACCAUGUCGUGCUGUGGCAUCACUUCAUUGAACACUUGUUUGGCUUCCUCCAGCUCCCCAUUGUGAGAAAAUCCAGCCAGCAUUGCAUUAAGAGCUGGUAGAUCGUGGAAUGGCAUUUGCUUAAAGAUAGUGGCAGCUUCAACCGGAAUCUCAUGAAGCAGCAUUGUGGUGCAUGAUGCUAUAUUCAGCCUUGGCAUUUUACUGAAAGUAUCUCUCGCAAGGCUCAGAUUUCCUGCCUGUGCCACCGCUGCCAAGAUCAAAGACAUGGAAACCAUGUUAUGAAAAGGCAUCUCUUUGUCAAACAAGUGUUUUGCCUCUGUCAAGCACUCGUUUUGGAUGUACGCCGAGAGCAUAGAGUUCCAAGAGACAAUGUCCAGCUCGGGCAUAGAGCCAAACACUUGCUUUGCUUUGUUGAGCUGACCACGUUGACCAUACAUUGAAAGCAACGAAUUCCAGGAGACAACAUUCCUCUGUGGCAUCCGGUCAAACAUUCCACAAGCAUCCCGCUGAUGCCCACUCUGGGCAUACGCGGACACAAUUAUGUUCCAUGUUGUCAAGUCCCUUACCGGCAUUUGCCAAAACAAACUCUUACAUUCCUCCAAAUUGCCGGAUUGACCAAAUACGGUCAACAUGGUGUUCCACGUCACGAUGUUGGGAGAGUCAAUCUGGUCAAAAGUGGACUUGGCCUUUUCAACGUUUCCCGCCUGGGCAUACGCGGUCAACAAGGAGUUCCACGUCACUAGAUUCCACUCGGGCAUCUGGUCAAACACAGCAAAAGCGUCAACGAGAUUCCAGGCCUCCACGUAAGCCGUCAGCAAGGCAGUCCAUGAGAUGAGGUCGCGAAAUGGCAUUUCAUCAAACACACGCUUUGAGCUCCGCAAAUCCCCUUUCCUGGCAUAUGCUGUAAGAAGAGUUGUCCACAACACAAUGUCCUUUUGGGGUAUCUUGUCAAAAAAUCUCUGGAUUCUUUCCACGCAGUUAUUGUGAGCUAUCAGGAAAAACACUGUGGAAAAAGAGAUGAGGUCGUGCUGUGGCAUUUGAUCAAAUAAUGUUUGGGUGCUUAGAAGAUGCCCUGCACGGGCAUAUGCUGAAAGAAGAGCAUUCCAUGCGACCAGAUUGGGCUGAGCCAUAGCGUCGAACGUUUGCUUCGCAAGGGCCAGUUCGCCGUUUCUAGAGUAGGCAUUCAUCAUUAUAACCCAAGAAUACGAGUUUCUUUGUCUCCCCAACCUGUCGAAGAUCUCUCGGGCUUGACUCAAGCUCCCGACCCUGCCAUGCAUUUCAAUCAGCUUGUUACCAACAAACGUAUCGAGUGGGGCCUGAGAUGAAGCAACGCGAUCGUGCAAAUCAUUCGCCUCUACCAACGUCUUGCAUUCCCUGAUACUCUCUAUGAUCUCCAUGUACUCUCAUCAUAAACUCUCGAUAAGUAUCAAUCCAAAACAAUGAGAUACUAUGCACUAUUUCAUUCCACAUCGUCCGAAAGGACGCGUUUGAUCCCGUCGCUACCCUCCUCCUCCGAAGCCGUGGCAUUCAUCCUGGUGUUCGCCGGGCACCUCUCGCGCGGAUCAUCGCUCUCCUUCCUACAGAAGCACUCCGGCCAGGGAUUCGUGUAGAACGACUCGGGAUUCACCCGGCGGUGAGACCUUCCAAACGUUCCACCGCUCAUCACGCCUCUCACCAUGGCCUCGAAGUUUGCGGCGGCGGCGCCGCCACCACUCUCGCGAGCCAUGAAGAUCGGUGCCAGAGCCUUCCUGUUGGGCUGGAUGGACGUCCGGAAGCCGUAGUAGAGCCUGUGGCCGAGGAGAUUGUUGGCAAAGUUGCUGGGACCGUCGUAAGUUGGCAUGAAGAUGUCCGAGAGCAAGCACACCAUGUAGUCCACCGCCGGUCCCAGGAGUCCUCUCCCCUCGGCCUGGACAGCUUCCAGCUCCUCCGGAGCGGCCACGGUGGUGCGAUUCUCCAGGUGAGGAUACAUCUCUCGCAGUGGCUGCAUGAAUCUCUCGCCUCCAAAGAUGUCGCCCGCUGCGAGGUAGAGGCGGGUCGAGUUGUCGAAGCCCAUUGCCUGGAGGAUGAGCCCGACUUCUUCCGGUGUCAAGGGACACUUCCCGAUUAAGCGCCUCUCGUUGUAGACGAGGCGCUUCUUGGCAAAGUUUUGCUCGCGGUACUUUCGUAGUAUCUCCUGCUCUUCCGGUUUGAAUAUGGCGAGGCACCUGAGAGAAGCUUGUCGGUGGAGAAAGACUACGAAAGAAGGAAGUACGUACCCAGCGAAUGCAAGCAUGUCCAUCUCGAAACGGAGAUGGAUCGACAUGAAGUGGCCUUCAGCGCGGAGCCUGCUCACGAUCUGGUUGCUCAGCUGCAUCACGUCCGGCUUGAAACGCAGUGCGUGGAAGUUUACUCGGCACCUCAACCGCUGGUACUCGGCGUUUGGAACCUCUUCGGCUAGGCGAUGGGAAAAGGGAGUGAGAUAUAUCGCGCCGUGCUGUUUCAUCUUAGCCAGCGCUUCGGUCUCGUACCAACUUGGAGGACCAUCUCGCGGUGGUGCGAUCUACAGCAGACAAGAGUUACGUUGGUUUGAAAGAACGAGUAACCAACCUGGAAAGCCUUCAUCUUUUUCUUCUUCUUGUCGGAGACGUAAGGAAGGGACUCCACAAUCUUGACGUCGUGUCUAAGGGAUUUGAUAAAGUGUUCUACAUCAUAAAUGCCAGCAAAACCACUGCAACAUCAAAAACAACUGUUUGCUCUUUAUCAUAACCAAGGACGAGAAAGCAAAAGAUAUACGGACCUUUUAUCGUUCCAAAACGAGUUAGUAUCCAACUCCGGCAACACAAGCGUUGCAUUCAUUAUCCUCGCUGCCAAAACUGCAUUACAAAUCUGCAAUGACACAUCGAUGAAGCUGGAAAUAAAAAGCAAGGAGAAUAGAAUGUCUCUUACGGCACUACGCUGCUGGUUAAGCCCGCCAUUGCACCGAACGACGAGAUAGCCAUUGCUUUUCUUGGGAGGGGCUGCAAGCAAGAUAGUCCACUAAGUUACAUACAAGAAGAAAAGAAUGAUAUGAGAAAAAAACUCUACUUACGCGGCCAAAAAGAUCUGGGAGCCGAGGAAGGCCUCCAACCAGAAGAAGAAGAGCUCGUCCAAAGAGAAUUCACAUCAAUCUGUCAAAAGAAAAAAAAAAAAGGAGCAAGAGAGACAAAACGCUUUAAAAACGAGGAGCAAGGAAAGCGCGAGGAAUGCUUACAUGAGAGUGAACGAUGACACCGUCUUGCCGCAACUGCGAGACCAGCGACACCAUGCACAGAAGCAGCACCAGGCCAGAGAUGGACAAUCGACCAGCAAAUCCCUUCAUACUGGCAGUCACUUGCUUCCAUUGCCUCUGCCCCCUUCUUCCUAAUGCCGACGCUCCACCCGUGAGAGAACGCUCAUCAUCGUCUUGCGAGUGGCUAGAUCCCCUGGACAAGCCAAACACAAACCCACGAAUCAGGCUCCCGAAACCAGAGAAUGCAGCUGCGCUAGAGCUACCACACACAGCGAGGGAUCAGAUCUGUUGCGCAGCACGAGCACCAUUCUUUGGUUGCGAGAGAGAGUGUGAGAGAGAGUAGAUCUAUCCCGCCCCUGUUGCCCUAAGCGAGGAGAGACGAGAGCGCUUACCUACGCAUCAAAUGGGGCGCUUGUUUUCUACGCGUCAAUGCGUCGUGUCGGGGGCCGAGCGAGCUGGAUCGAUGCGCUCCUCUCGCAAGAACCCUAAAACUAAACCCAAAUGCCGCGAAAUAUUUUCAACGAAAGAGACGAGUUUAUUCCCUUUUAUUUUCCAAAGGGAAGACUAUGUUUGACUAUCUUGGACUACAUUGACUAAUACGAAAGAUUGGGAUUUCACAAAGAGCGCCAAUGCUUUAAAAGGGACUCAACACUCUUGCCCUGAUUGAUCUCUCCCGGUGGAGCUUUAAAGUGAUUUGGAUUGAAAUGUAGGCCAGAAUCGAGCUCUGCAAGGACCAAGGUGGGAUUGAGCGAGGAGGAUUCAAAGCUUAGCUCCGGCUGCGGUGAAGAGGAUGAGGAGCUAAAUUCCUCGACCUCUUCGAGUUCUUAUGAAGUUCCAUGAGAACUUUGAGUCGUCCCGGCAAGGCAUGGAUUCGAAGAAACUAUUGUAGCAGCCACCACACUCCUUGGAAUCAAAGAGAUCCAUUGCUUGUUCCGCGAAUGCAUUGAGAGUGUAGGCCGUGAGCAUGGCGUCCCAGGACGGAACGCCACCUCUUUCCGAGAUUGGUCGCUCUAAUACUUGUAGCAAAACUUUUCGAGAAAGCGCAUGCAAAUUCUUUGCUUGGAAGUUGGAAGAGAUCGAAGAUCGAAGAAACUUUCUUUGAUUGUAGAUGGUGUUUCCUUUUCUUUUCGCUUCGCAGUUGUAAGUUCUCUGUUUCCAGCGAAUAUCCGAGAACUAUUAACACACAGCGUGGUUAUUUACAUUGGGAGUAAACAUCAAACCGUUAGGAUCAAGCUCUCGCUUUGUCAAGUUGAAAUCUAAAUCUAUCUCUCACUCUUGAACUUUUUGGAUUUGUCCAGCAUAUCUACCAUCGCCGAAGUUCGAUAGGAUGUCAGCGAACAUUCUCUUUUCGCAGAAGGAGCUGAUUUAAACAGAGAAAAUUCACAAGAGUUAGAACACAAAAGAGCUGUCCAAAAUGUCUUACCUCUCGACUGGUACGUAGAUCGCUGGUUGACGUGAGAAUUCUCGGCCGCAAGCAGCACAGCAUGUCCCCCGGAACGGUAAUAAUCCCCCAUCAUGCACUGGAUCAGCUCCUCGAGUUCGCUCACCAAUCCCUUGGACAAGACAUCGCCAGCUCCAAACGCUCGGGAGCUCUCAAUCUUUUGCUUCACGUCCAGCAGCGCUUGCUUUGCCGACGCCAAGUCUUCCGAGCUGCGACAUCCGAGCCUCCGAGCGGCAGCCAUGGCCUUCGAGGCACUCACACGGUUCUUCUGCCUGUCCACCUCGAUCUUUGUCGCUUCCUCUUCCUCGCCAGCUUUGAGCUCCUGGAUCACCAGGCUCGAAGUUGCAAGCUGCUGGGUCUUGUCGCUGGACGGGUCUCGAAAGCUCCCUCCAACUUUGAGAAGUUCCAGCGACGAAGAGCUCGAGUCAGAGCCAGGCAGCAAGAGCUCCACCAGGAUAUCUCUCUCCUCUUCCGCGUACAAGGAUCCAAGCUUCACUGUCGCAGCUCGAUCGCCAGCCAUGGCCGUUGUCCCGGCGGUGGCUUCCACACUCUUGAUCCGCGCUCUGCCGCUUGCCUCCAUCCAGACCUCCACUUCCUGUGCCACCACGCUAAGCAGCCCGCCAAUGAACUGAGCAAACGCGUGCUGGACGGCAAACUCCUCUUGCACGUAGCAAAAGCUGCCACCCGUGGCCUCGGCGAUGCUCAGCAUGGCCUCGGGAUCAUGGUCACUUCCAAAUCCAAAAGUGUGCACUGGAACUCGCUCGCUCCCAUUCUCGAGGUAGGAAUCCACCGGAAGAACUUUGCAUCGCUUGAACAUGAUCGCAUUGUCCAUCCCGUCCGAGAGAAGCAAAAUGCUCGACACCGGGUUCCUGUUCUUGCGCCGCGAGAGAAGAUCGAAUCCAGCCUUUAGACCCGGACGGAUCUCGGUUCCUCCCAGGCUCCGCAGCUUCUCCACUGCAUUGAGCGCCGCGGCUCGACCUUCGUGGGUCAUCCUCUUGAGACCGAGAUGGACUUUGGGCUCGUCCGAGAAGGAGACGAUCGCGAGGCGAUCCUGCUGUCGCAAAUUCCGGAUCACAAACUCCAUGGCGGUCUUGACAAGCUCCAGCUUCUGGCCGCGCAUGCUGCCGCUCACAUCCAGCACUGUCACCAGAUCGACCGGGGCGCGGGCACUGUCGGCGGCCGAGCUCUCAUCUUUGGGAGCUUUGAGAUGGACCAGCGCUGUAAAGAUUCGCUCUACUUGUUCUUCUCCCUUGGCCUUGAUCUUGUCGACCUCGCCGAUGAUCUUGAGCUCUGGCUGCUCGCCAAUCACUAGCCAGCCUAGCUCCUCGCUAAGAUGAACAAUUUCUUCUUCCUCGAGCGUGACAUCCAUGCCGCUUACCUCGAAUUUCUCAAACCCUGCCGCCAUAGCUCCUGAUCGAUAUGGGAGAACUUUAUACCUUUAAGAGGUCAAGUUGGCCCUACAUUCCAAUUUAAAUUCUUUUUUUUUUCGGACGGUUCAGAUGAGGACACCUGGACAACGUUUACGUGGGUAGUGAGCACGCCACUGACGCUAAAACGAUAGCAUUUUUGCAUCCAUCAAUCUCAUGCUUCCAGUUGGGCACUACAAGACUAUCAAAACAAUAUAUAUAUAGAAAGAUAGAUAAAUAGAUAAUUUGGGAUUUCUUGGAUUUUCAGAUCCUCCAAAGUGAUUGGCAAGGGCGAGACUGGGGCCAGACGCAAUACGAGAGGGUGAUUAUAAUUGAGUUGCUUUGGAGCAUUGCUCCUUUUUAUUCUAUUCUAUUAGUUUCUUGGUGGUUGAUAACCAUUGAUGGGAAUGCUCUCCUUCUCUAUCUCUUUUUGUCCUGCAUUAUCACUGCCAAGUAAAUCUCUACGCUCUUUUUUUUUUGCAGUUGUCAAUUCCGAAUUCUAUGGUUCACAGGCUGUUCCCAAUCAAUAUUUUGCUUUCUCUUUGUUAUAUUGUUCUAUUUCUGACACUGUCGCACCAGAAGGCCUCCUCUUUCUUGCGUAGGCAGUCUGGAAGCCAUCUUCUCCGAGAAGUUCCCCAUGCCAGAAACAUCUGCUGGCGUCUUCUUUUUCUUCUUUUUCUUUUUCUUCUCUUACAUUCUUUGUAUGGCCAACGUUCAAAUUUGUUUGUUUUUUACGAUGGUUUUCUCAGCUUUUUCACAGGUGUUCCAAUUCCAAUCAAAGAAAGAGAGGUUUUGGCAUUGUGUCCCAACUUUUUCUCCAUCCAGAUUUUGAGUAUGAGAUUGUUCUGAUUGACCAGGUUUUCGUGUCAACGAUCUUUGUAUUGCUGGUGUUGAGUUCAGCAAUGAGCUGAGCAAAUUCAUUAGAUGUGACGUGCACGAGGAGGAUUCCCAUGUCAAGGAAAUUGUUCAUGUCGCUCUCAUUGAGGUCUGGAGUUUUCCUCGGUUUCUCUUCACGGUUUUUAAAGGUGCUUCAUAUCAAGCAGGCUAAGGAGAUCUUCAAGCCAAUGUAUGGUGUAGUUAUCUCAUUUCAUGGAAUUUUGAUUUAGUUCUUUGAACAGCGCGAUUCGACGAGGCUACUCAGCACAAGGCUAUUGGAGCUUUAGAGAAAUUUGCUGAGGCAACAGGAAACGAUUUACCAGCAAAUAUGAAAAGCCUGAAGCCAGAAUAUUGUAAGCUUACGGCUAAAUAUGUUACGCUUUCUUUCCUCAAAUGUAGUGAUGAUCGAACUAGAGGAGCAUUGAUGCUACUUUCGCAGGCAUGUAGCAGCUUAAUAACCUAUGUCUUAGAGCGAGCAAUGAUUGUUAUUAGCUCAUAUAUCAAACCAACUGCCAUGGUUUGGUUUGCGUAUUUAAUCACAUGUGGCUAUGUGGAAAAAUGCGAUCCAUGGAAAUAAUAAAAAAAAUUGCUACGUGUUGCAUGUAGCAACGCUUGGUUUGCUUAAUACUAGUGUUAUUAUUACUUAUUAAUCCAAUUGAUCAAAUCAAGCUUAUGAUUAUAAGCAUGUUUGUAAUUUAUAUAUACAAGAUUAAUUUUAUUGCAUAUCAACCGUUAGAUGGUAGAAUAAAAAAGAAUAUACUAGAAAAGGUUUAAGAAAGUUUAUAAAUUAUAAAUACAAGAUUAAUCUAAAUGAAUAACAACCGCUAGAUAGUAGAAUAUCUUAGAAUAUUCAAGCAUAUUCUAAGUAUAUUCACUACCAUCCCAAUCCCCCUAUAGGUUUGCUUAAGCAAACCAAAAACGUGACAUGUGAUCUCUGUUGUUGGAACACUGUAUGUAGUAUAAAUAUCUUCUUGUAAGCGUAGAAAUGUUGUUGAUAAUCGCGUGGAAUCCAUGGCGCCCGACGCCCACACUGGAUCGCUGGAGCUGGUAGCGGAGGACCUCACCGCGCCACCGCUAGGGUUGUCAGUGCCACAUCGUCGGGAGGAGCUGGGCGGCGCGGCCAGCGGCGCCAUGGCGGUGAUCAAGGAGGAAGGCCUUCUCGGCUAUCAAAUGCCUCUUACUGAGUUCUUCCAUUGUUUACUUUUGGGCUUCUCUUCUUUUUCUGGAAUCGUUGCUUGGAUUUCUUUUAAGAACGAUGGAUUUUUUUCGUUGUUUGCUUGGAGUUUUUGGAAGAACGAUGGAUUUUUUCGAUUGGAAAUGUAGAUCGUUUCUUUUGUGGAUGCGGUGAUAGCCAUACACUUAAACGUUCUUAUGUCUUCGUGCUCUUCCAGACGUUCAUACUACGUUUGGUCUUCUCCCUCGUUUUUUUUGUUGAGGAUCUGGAUGGUUGCUUGGAUAGCUGUAUUUUUUUCUUUGACAGAAGUUCGUGCUGGUGUGGGAAAUGCCUUUGGAAAUCUCUUCUGCGUUGCAACUUUUACGGUGGAGGAGUUGGAUGUGCCAUCGUUGGAUGCCCUCCGGCGCUCAAUCUCACCGAGGAGGGAUCUAGACAGAAGGUAUGCUCUUUCUUUUCUUUCUACUUUUUUGUUUCCUUUUACUUUGAGUUCUUUUUGUGUAGUUCUUCGUGUUACUCUUUGCGUGUUCUUUGUAUGUUCUUUCGUUGUUUGUUAUAAAGUACUAUGUUCUUCGUGUCUUCAUUGUAUGUUGCUCAUUCUCUUCAUUUCUCAACGAACAGGAGGCCGGGCCAAAGUCGGAUCACAACUCCAAGGAAGGAAACAGGCACUUGCAAAUUUCUCUCUGGCGUGGCACAAGGUAAUGUAGCUUCUUGCUUUUCUUUUCUUCUGUAAGUUUACCAAUUCUUUCUCAUAGGAAUGGACACUUGCUGUUCUAGUUCCAAACACGGAUCAACGUAGAAGAGUAAGUUUUCGUUAACGGAAGAAAGAAAGUGAGACGCUGGAACUUAAUGUGAGGUAUUCUGCAGGAUUGGCUCUAGCUUAUCUAGCGGCCGUCUCAUGCCGAUGCUACUUACGGAUUCAAGUAGCUGUCCAGGUUAAAUCUAAACGUUUCCUUGCAAACUCUCUCGGGUCUUAAGCUUAAAAACCUCGUGCAGGGUGGAGGAAGAUCAUCCACCCGAGAAAGAGUAGCAUCGGGGACAAUCGCAAAGAAGCUACUCAAACAGCAAGGCGGAACCGAGGUCCAGGAAAAAGAGAGGAGUACUAAGCAAUUUGUGCUUUAAUAUUUCCUUGGUGUUCGUAAUUCCCGGUGGAGAGCAACAUCCGGAUCAAGCUAUGGCGGAAGAGACGAUCGCUGCCAUCGACGCUGUGAGAGUGAGGGGAGAUUCCGUGGGAGGAGUCGUCAGUUUGGAUUGCUAGAAACGUUCCUCGGGUAAGAAAUCUACUCCCGCAUUCACGCAAAGCUGUAUUGAUCACCCUUCUGUCUACUUUCAGGGACUUGGGGCUCCUGUUCUUGACAAGCUAGAAGCCGAGCUCGCCAAGGCUCUCAUGUCUUUGCCUGCCACCAAAGGCUUUGACUUUGAAGGUAACACAAGAUGGAACCAAUCUCCGUUUGCAAUGUUUAGACCUUUCUGUCUACACACACAAGAAGUAUGAAGGAAUCUCAUGGGUUUCUAGACAGGAUCUCCUUUCUGUUUUUCCCUCAACUUGUGAACAAGUCAUGCAGGGAAGAAGAGACGAUAGUGAUGAGAAUAGCAUUCAAGCCGACGUCUACAAUCACUGUAAAGUUCAUCAAUUCUCACUGCGCUGGCAUUGAUUUUGCUUGCGUGAUUGCUUCUUACAGAAAUUCCAAGAGACUGGAACGAGAGACCGGCAAGAAGAGCUCGUGUUCGUCAUGAUCACUGCGUCGUUCCUCGAGGUAACAUCCAGGAAUCCUUUCUCCUCUCGUGAAUGCCUAUCGAUCGAUUUCUUGCAGCUGUUCCAAUGGUGUCCAAGGCGAUGGUGGCCUUGGUUCUCGCGGAUCAGCUCCUCCAACACUACGCGCAGUGCCAAUUUCUCCCUCUGGCAGAGCUCCACCCUCGUUUCUAAUCCACCGGAGGAAGAACGUCUCGCUUGCCAUUUUUUUUAUUUGAAUUCGAGCGCCAAAUUUUUUCCAAAGAAAACUCGGAGGGAUUGCGUAGAACCCUAGCCAAAAUCUUGGAGCAAUGGAGGAGCCUCUUCUCCCCGGGCGCCAGGAGGAUCUGGAGAACCCUCCCCUGUCCGAUGACGAGAAUCCUCAGGUAUGUCCACGCCUAGCUUUCCUGCGUGAAAUUUCGCCAGGAUCUGCCCCCGGAGGAUCGGCGCCAGGAGGAUCAGCGCCAGGAGGAUCGGCUGCCAGGGGAUCGGCGCCGGGAGGAUCUGCUGCCAGGGGAUCGGGGCCAGGAGGAGAAUCAGCGCCAGCUUCAGGUAGCUACAUUUCCUGGUUUUUUUUUCUUUGACACAAACAUGAUUCAUUGACAGCACCAGGAGGAUCGGCCGCCCCAGCAGGAGCCAGGGAAUCAGCAGGAGGUACAUUUCAUUCUUCUCGUUCUUUGCCACAACGAGAUUCACAGCCACAGGGAUUUCCAGGAAUUCACCACCAGAAAGUUUUUGGCCGCUGUACUGUCUCUUCUACUUUCUCUGAUGCCUCUCAUCUCGGGUGCCAUGUCUGGGCCUGUCGGGAUGGACAUCCAGAACGCGAGCAUGAUCGAGAGCCUGGUCUUCUUUGGCCUUGCUGGUUUUUUUUUCUAAUUCUAAGCUAGUUUUUCUCCAAACUCUAAAUGUUUUUCAAUGUUUGUUGCAGCUUUGAACUGCACUACCUUGGAGCUCUGUUGCUUUCUCAGUCGGGAUCUUGUAACUUCUGAAGUGAACAAGUUUGGAACGCUGGUGCAGAUACUCUACACUGUCCACACCUCUGGCAGCUUCCUCUGGCCCCCGGUGAUCGUCACAGCGUGGUAUGUUUCCUUCAGGCUUUUGGACCUCUCCUUUCCUACUUGGGAGCUUGUGGGUUACAUCGGCAUUGCGACCACGCUACUCUCCACAGCAUCGCCCCUGGGAGUAUAAGUUUUCUAUUGUCUUCUCUUGGUUUCUAAACGUUUUCUUUUCUUCCUUUUCAUGUAGUUCGCAGCCUAUUAUGGACGACUGCCUACUGUCAACGUCCUCACGUCUUUGGUUGCAUUCUGCUGCCGCGCUCUGUGGGCGUAUCAUGGUCAUGUGACCAAGAACAAGAAUAUGAAGGUAAGGUUUAAGAAUAGCGAUAUAAAGUAACAAGUCUGUUUUGCUUAUAAUAGUGGGGAAAUGGAAUUGCAAGCGGCUUGGCCUUGGUGCUCCUCUCCGUCGGGUAUGUGAGAUUGUUUCUUUUACUUUCUAACACUUACUGUUUUUUAAGGUGCAUUUCUCGACUGCUUACUAUGAUGUAGAACUCGCGAUCGGUUCUUUUUUUCUCUACAUGUGGUAGAGUUUUGUGAACAAAUCGUCUACUUUUUCCCGGAUAAUCCACAUCGUCCCAAAGGACGCGUUUGAUCCCCCCUCCAAAGCAGUGAUAUUCAUGCCGGUGUUCGCACGGCACCUCUCGCCAGCCAGGGAUUCGUGCAAAACGGCUCGGAAUGCACCCGACGUUCCACCGCUCAUCACGCCUCUCAUCAAGAUGUCCGAGAGCAAGCACACCGGGUAGUUCACCGUCGGUCCCAGAAGUCCUCUCCCCUCGGCUUGGACAGCUUCCAGCUCCUCCGGAGCAGCGACGGUAGUGCGGUUCUCCAGGCGACGAUUCUCUCGCCUCCAAAGAUGUCGCGCGUUGAGUUGUCCAAGUCCAUUGCCUGGAGAAUGAGACCGACCUCUUCAAGCGCUUCUCGUUGUAGUAUCUCCUGCUCUUUCGG